UACGUAGGCAGCGAGCGUUGUUCGGAGUUACUGGGCGUAAAGAGUGCGUAGGCGGUUUUCUAAGUUUGGUGUGAAAUCUCCCGGCUUAACUGGGAGGGUGCGCCGAAAACUGGAAGGCUUGAGUGUGGGAGAGGUAAGCGGAAUUCCUGGUGUAGCGGUGAAAUGCGUAGAUAUCAGGAGGAACACCUGUGGUGUAGACAGCUUACUGGACCAUGACUGACGCUGAGGCACGAAAGCGUGGGGAGCAAACAGG
rnacentral:rRNA from 1 species